UCAAGAAACUUCCACAAUGGGCGAAAGCCUGAUGGAGCGACGUCGCGUGAUGGACGAAGUGCUUCGGCACGUAAACAUCUUUUAUGUGGGAUGAAAUUAUUGACAGUACCACAUGAAUAAGGGGCUCCUAACUCUGUGCCAGCAGGAGCGGUAAUACAGAGGCCCCAAGCGUUAUCCGGAAUCACUGGGCGUAAAGGGUGUCGAGGCGGUUGUAUUAGUCGUUCGUAAAAUCUACGAGCUUAACUUGUAGGCGGCGAACGAAACGGUACGACUUGAGGUUUGGAGAGGUGCGUGGAACUCACGGUGUAGGGUGAAAUCCGUUGAUAUCGUGGGGAACACCAAAGGCGAAGGCAGCGCACUGGCCAAAAUCUGACGCUCACACACGAAAGCUAGGGUAGCGAAGAGGAUUAGAUACCCUCGUAGUCCCUGAGCGGGCUGGCAAGGCGCAU
rnacentral:rRNA from 1 species